rnacentral:rRNA from 1 species
UACGGAGGGGGCUAGCGUUGUUCGGAAUUACUGGGCGUAAAGGGUUCGUAGGCGGCCAACUAAGUCGGAUGUGAAAUCCCCAGGCUCAACCUGGGAACUGCAUCCGAUACUGGAUGGCUUGAAUUCGGGAGAGGGAUGCAGAAUUCCAGGUGUAGCGGUGAAAUGCGUAGAUAUCUGGAGGAAUACCGGUGGCGAAGGCGGCAUCCUGGACCGACAUUGACGCUGAUGAGCGAAAGCUAGGGGAGCAAACGGG